UGGGGAAUAUUGCACAAUGGGCGCAAGCCUGAUGCAGCCAUGCCGCGUGUAUGAAGAAGGCCUUCGGGUUGUAAAGUACUUUCAGCGGGGAGGAAGGUGUUGUGGUUAAUAACCGCAGCAAUUGACGUUACCCGCAGAAGAAGCACCGGCUAACUCCGUGCCAGCAGCUGCGGUAAUACGGAGGGUGCAAGCGUUAAUCGGAAUUACUGGGCGUAAAGCGCACGCAGGCGGUCUGUCAAGUCGGAUGUGAAAUCCCCGGGCUCAACCUGGGAACUGCAUUCGAAACUGGCAGGCUAGAGUCUUGUAGAGGGGGGUAGAAUUCCAGGUGUAGCGGUGAAAUGCGUAGAGAUCUGGAGGAAUACCGGUGGCGAAGGCGGCCCCCUGGACAAAGACUGACGCUCAGGUGCGAAAGCGUGGGGAGCAAACA
rnacentral:rRNA from 1 species